rnacentral:rRNA from 1 species
GAUGAACGCUGGCGGCGUGCUUAACACAUGCAAGUCGAACGGUGAAGGCGGAGCUUGCUCUGCUGGAUCAGUGGCGAACGGGUGAGUAACAAGUGAGCAAUCUGCCCCUGACUCUGGGAUAAGCGCUGGAAACGGCGUCUAAUACUGGAUACGAGCUGCGAAGGCAUCUUCAGCAGCUGGAAAGAACUUCGGUCAGGGAUGAGCUCGCGGCCUAUCAGCUUGUUGGUGAGGUAACGGCUCACCAAGGCGUCGACGGGUAGCCGGCCUGAGAGGGUGACCGGCCACACUGGGACUGAGACACGGCCCAGACGCCUACGGGAGGCAGCAGUGGGGAAUAUUGCACAAUGGGCGAAAGCCUGAUGCAGCAACGCCGCGUGAGGGACGACGGCCUUCGGGUUGUAAACCUCUUUUAGCAGGGAAGAAGCGAAAGUGACGGUACCUGCAGAAAAAGCGCCGGCUAACUACGUG